UACGUAGGGUGCGAGCGUUAAUCGGAAUUACUGGGCGUAAAGCGUACGCAGGCGGUCUGUUAAGACCGAUGUGAAAUCCCCGGGCUUAACCUGGGAACUGCAUUGGUGACUGGCAGGCUUUGAGUGUGGCAGAGGGAGGUAGAAUUCCACGUGUAGCAGUGAAAUGCGUAGAGAUGUGGAGGAAUACCGAUGGCGAAGGCAGCCUCCUGGGCCAACACUGACGCUCAUGCACGAAAGCGUGGGGAGCAAACAGG
rnacentral:rRNA from 1 species